UACGUAGGGGGCGAGCGUUGUCCGGAUUUAUUGGGCGUAAAGAGCUCGUAGGCGGCUUGGCAAGUCGGGUGUGAAACCUCCAGGCUCAACCUGGAGACGCCACUCGAUACUGCUAUGGCUAGAGUCCGGUAGGGGACCACGGAAUUCCCGGUGUAGCGGUGAAAUGCGUAGAGAUCGGGAGGAAGGCCGGUGGCGAAGGCGGCGCUCUGGAACAUUUCUGACGCUGAGGCUCGAAAGCGUGGGGAGCAAACAGG
rnacentral:rRNA from 1 species